GAUGAACGCUAGCUACAGGCUUAACACAUGCAAGUCGAGGGACCGGCGCACGGGUGAGUAACACGUAUCCAACCUGCCCUUUACUCGGGGAUAGCCUUUCGAAAGAAAGAUUAAUACCCGAUGUAAAGGAUGGGGAUGCGUUCCAUUAGGUUGUUGGUGAGGUAACGGCUGACCAUGCCUUCGAUGGAUAGGGGUUCUGAGAGGAAGGUCCCCCGCAUUGGAACUGAGACACGGUCCAAACUGCUACGGGAGGCAGCAGUUAGGAGUAUUGGGCAAUGGGCGUUAGCCUGAACCAGCCAAGUAGCGUGAAGGAUGAAGGCUUAUGGGGCGUAAACUUCUUGUAGAUAAGAAUAGGUAUUAAAUGAAUAAGGAUCGGCUAACUCCGUGCCAGCAGCCGCGGUAAUAC
rnacentral:rRNA from 1 species